GGAAAGGUGCCGGAGUGGUUGAACGGGACGGUCUCGAAAACCGUUUAAGUCUUUAUGGCUUACGAGGGUUCGAAUCCCUCCCUUUCCG
rnacentral:tRNA from 1 species